rnacentral:rRNA from 1 species
GGCGAACGGGUGAGUAACACGUUGGGUAACCUGGCUCCUCGCAGGGGGACAACCGGGGGAAACCCCGGCUAAUACCCCGUACGCUCCGAGGUCCGCAUGGGCCACGGAGGAAAGGAAGCUUCGGCCAUCCGGCGAGGGAUGGGCCCGCGGUCCAUUAGCUAGUUGGUGGGGUAACGGCCUACCAAGGCGACGAUGGAUAGCUGGUCUGAGAGGAUGAUCAGCCACACUGGGACUGAGACACGGCCCAGACUCCUACGGGAGGCAGCAGUCGGGAAUCUUGCGCAAUGGGCGAAAGCCUGACGCAGCAACACCGUGUGGGCGACGAAGGCCUUCGGGUCGUAAAGCCCUGUUGUUGGGGACGAAGGGCGAAGGGUUAAUAGCCCCUAGCUUGACGGUACCCUUCGAGGAAGCCCCGGCUAACUACGUGCCAGCCGCCGCGG